rnacentral:rRNA from 1 species
UACAGAGGUCCCAAGCGUUGUUCGGAUUCACUGGGCGUAAAGGGUGCGUAGGUGGCCAGGUAAGUUUGGUGUGAAAGCUCGGAGCUUAACUCCGAAAAGUCAUUGAAUACUAUCUGGCUGGAGGGUCGGAGGGGAGACUGGAAUUCUCGGUGUAGCAGUGAAAUGACGUAGAUAUCGAGAGGAACACCAGUGGCGAAGGCGAGUCUCUGGACGACUCCUGACACUGAGGCACGGAAAGC